rnacentral:rRNA from 1 species
CCCACCGUCAUUGGAGUGGGGGCCACACCCGUUCCCAUUCCGAACACGGAAGUUAAGCCCCACAUCGGCGAUGGUACUGCGGAUUUCUUUCGUGGGAGAGUAGCACGGCGGUGGGA